rnacentral:rRNA from 1 species
CCUACGGGGGGCUGCAGUGGGGAAUAUUGCACUAUGGGCGCAAGCCUGAUGCAGCCAUGCCGCGUGUGUGAAGAAGGCCUUCGGGUUGUAAAGCACUUUCAGCGGGGAGGAAGGCGUUAAGGUUAAUAACCUUGGCGAUUGACGUUACCCGCAGAAGAAGCACCGGCUAACUCCGUGCCAGCAGCCGCGGUAAUACGGAGGGUGCAAGCGUUAAUCGGAAUUACUGGGCGUAAAGCGCACGCAGGCGGUCUGUCAAGUCGGAUGUGAAAUCCCCGGGCUCAACCUGGGAACUGCAUUCGAAACUGGCAGGCUAGAGUCUUGUAGAGGGGGGUAGAAUUCCAGGUGUAGCGGUGAGAUGCGUAGAGAUCUGGAGGAAUACCGGUGGCGAAGGCGGCCCCCUGGACAAAGACUGACGCUCAGGUGCGAAAGCGUGGGGAGCAAACAGGAUUAGAUACCCUAGUAGUC